GACGACGCUGGCGGCGGGCCUAAUACAUGCAAGUCGAACGAGUGGCGGGCGGGUGAGUAACAAGUGGGAACCUACCCAUCUGAGGGGGAUAACACUUGGAUACAAGUGCUAAAACCGCAUACGGAUUGAGGAACCCGGGUGGCAUUCGCUAGUUGGUGGGGUAACGGCUCACCAAGGCGACGAUGCAUAGCUGAUCUGAGAGGGUGACAUGACACACUGGAACUGAGACACGGCCCAGACUCCUACGGGAGGCAGCAGUGGGGAAUAUUGCACAAUGGGCGCAAGCCUGAUGCAGCAAUGCCGCGUGUAUGAAGAAGGCCUUCGGGUUGUAAAGCACUUUCAGCGGGGAGGCGUUACCCGCAGAAGAAGCACCGGCUAACUCCGUGCCAGCCGCCGCGGUAAUAC
rnacentral:rRNA from 1 species